rnacentral:rRNA from 1 species
GACGAACGCUGGCGGUGUGCUUAACACAUGCAAGUCGAACGGGUCUGCCCUGUUUUUUGCGGGGUGGGUCAGUGGCGAACGGGUGAGUAACACGUGAGUAACCUGCCCCUCACUUCUGGAUAACCGCUUGAAAGGGUGGCUAAUACGGGGUGUUCUGGCUGUGCCGCAUGGUGUGGCUGGGAAAGAUUCACUUUUGUGGUGUUUUGGUGGGGGAUGGGCUCGCGGCCUAUCAGCUUGUUGGUGGGGUGAUGGCCUGCCAAGGCUUUGACGGGUAGCCGGCCUGAGAGGGUGGGCGGUCACACUGGGGCUGAGAUACGGCCCAGACUCCUGCGGGAGGCAGCAGUGGGGGGUAUUGCACGAUGGGCGGAAGCCUGAUGCAGCGACGUCGCGUGAGGGAUGGAGGCCUUCGGGUUGUGAACCUCUUUCGCCGGUGAAGAAGGUCCUGCUCUUUGUGGUGGGGUUGACGGUAGCCGGGUUAUGAAGCGCCGGCUAACUACGUG